GUCUCUCGCUUUUCUUCUAACAAGCCGAGGUUGGCCUUGAGAUCCUGUGAGUUAUGCUGCUCGUCGAAUGCCACGACUCAUGCCGAUGGAAGCUUGAGUUCAAUCGGGAUAAUGGCUUCUGUUCCGAAGGCUGAGGCAAAGGGGGUCUCCCCCAUGGGCAGUCUUUGGGUAGCUCAGUAUGCCCAUAACACAUGAUAAAGCUCAUCUACCCAAGUUCCCUUUGCUUUCUCAAGUCUC
rnacentral:lncRNA from 1 species